rnacentral:rRNA from 1 species
CCAAAUGACUCUCGGCAACGGAUAUCUCGGCUCUCGCAUCGAUGAAGAACGUAGCGAAAUGCGAUACUUGGUGUGAAUUGCAGAAUCCCGUGAACCAUCGAGUCUUUGAACGCAAGUUGCGCCCAAAGCCAUUAGGCCGAGGGCACGCCUGCCUGGGUGUCGCA